rnacentral:misc_RNA from 1 species
AGUACCUUCCCGAGGACCUGCAGGUGUUCAUUAUUUUGCUGUUUAAAUCUCUAUUAUGGGUUAGGGAUUUGAUUGAUUCUAUGUAUGCAUUGUUACAUAUCUCAAGUAUGUGUUGGUGGUCAAGCUUUAUAUUUGGGAAAAUAUUAACAUUGAAAUGCUUAGAUUGUGAAAUCCUUGAACUUUGCGGCAUUAAAAUGAUAAAAUCUACAUAACACGCAUUGUGAAUAAUCGACCAAAGACUUAGGAUUAGAGGCUUGGAGUUGCUUUUAAUUGUAUGAUUAAGCAUCGGUAUGAGCUUAUUAUUUAAAUAACUCUUGUAUUUGGUAAAGGCGUGAUCACAAUACGGAGUAUCGACUGUCCGCUGUUGUUGGCUAGUUGUAUUUUGUAUGUGCAUCUAUUUUAAAAUAUGUUAUUUAACUAUACAUGGAGAUCUCACAAGCUUCAAUUUUGUUUUCUUUGCACUUUUGCAGGCCAUGCAAACCCCUUUCA